rnacentral:tmRNA from 1 species
GGGGGCGACAGGCUUCGACGGGUUUGGCGAGGAUAUCGCUGCGUGCCCAGGGCGUCAGUCACCUGGUAAAACCACUGGCACAAUUCAUAACUGCCAAUUCAAACCUGGCACUGGCUGCGUAAGCUUCGGCUUCACGCACCUGCGUGAGUGGCAGCCCGCCUGAGGCGGCGCUCACGUAUCGCAAAAUCGGGCUGGCGUGACCUGGGGCCCGAACGGGUCGCGUAAGAGUUUCUAAGGGCUCGUCGCUGCCGCGGCCGGCGAGGCGCCGCGGUGGUGAGACCACAAGCCUCGUCUACGCACGUAGUGGCGGCAUCGGAGUCAUUCUCGGACCGGGGUUCGAUUCCCCGCGCCUCCACUG